GAGGGGGACGCCGAAGGUGGGGCUGAUGACUGGGGUGAAGUCGUAACAAGGUAGCCGUACCGGAAGGUGUGGCUGGAUCACCUCCUUAAGGGAGACCUUACCCACUUUCAGCCGAAAGCAAAAAGCAAUUAAGCGAAAGUCUGGUCAACCGAGGUCGUUCGAGGAAUUGAUGAGGCUUCCAGACUAGCGUCUAGUUCUUCUACAGAUUGGAUCAACCAUUCCUGGUCUGUAGAGAAAAGACUGUUGAUAAGGCAGUGGGCUAUUAGCUCAGGGUGGUUAGA
rnacentral:misc_RNA from 1 species